rnacentral:rRNA from 1 species
GAUGAACGCUGGCGGCGUGCCUAACACAUGCAAGUCGAGCGAUUCUCUUCGGAGAAGAGCGGCGGACGGGUGAGUAACGCGUGGGUAACCUGCCCUGUACACACGGAUAACAUACCGAAAGGUAUGCUAAUACGAGAUAAUAUGCUUUUAUCGCAUGGUAGAAGUAUCAAAGCUCCGGCGGUACAGGAUGGACCCGCGUCUGAUUAGCUAGUUGGUAAGGUAACGGCUUACUAAGGCGACGAUCAGUAGCCGACCUGAGAGGGUGAUCGGCCACAUUGGAACUGAGACACGGUCCAAACUCCUACGGGGGGCAGCAGUGGGGAAUAUUGCACAAUGGGCGAAAGCCUGAUGCAGCAACGCCGCGUGAGCGAUGAAGGCCUUCGGGUCGUAAAGCUCUGUCCUCAAGGAAGAUAAUGACGGUACUUGAGGAGGAAGCCCCGGCUAACUACGUGCCAGCAGCCGCCGCCG